rnacentral:tmRNA from 1 species
GGGGGCGACUGGAAUUGACAGCUUGUAGAGGUCGCGUGUAAGCAUGCCGGGAGUUGACGGUAUUUCCCGCCCAAACAAAUCGUUAAAACAAUAACUGGCGAAUAUAACUACGCCAUGGCUGCCUAAUCCGGAGGAUUAAGCAAUAGCCAUUGUCUCCCCAGCCUUGGUACUGCUGGCUGGAUCAGGAGGCAUCGACUCGCAGUGCUGGUCUGGAUAAUGGUGUUGACAACAGACGAGACAAAAAUACCUACGGUUGCGGGUUGGCCUGUUGCGAGCCUGCCCAAUACCCGACAAUCAAAAUCGCAACUAAGCAUGUAGAAGGCACGUCGGGUUCCCUGACUGGACGAGAGUUCGAAUCUCUCCGUCUCCACUU